GUGCUUGCUUUGCAGCACAUAUGCUAAAAUUGGAACCAUAUAGAGAAGAUUAGCAUGGCCCCUGCACAAGGAUGACAUGCAAAUUCAUGAAGCAUUCCAUAUUUUU
rnacentral:snRNA from 3 species